rnacentral:lncRNA from 1 species
AUAUUAUUUGUUUUAGGCUUCAUUUUUUCCAUCUUUGCUCUUACAGAUCUACUUAUAAAUUUCUGAUUCUUUAAAGAGAAGUAGUUUUUUGUUUUGUGUAAACUUUGCUUUGUCUUUUCGGAGCUUUUCUCUUAUCUUGUUUUGUUUCACUUGUUUGUUUUGUUAUUAUUUGCAUUAUUUUUAUGUUUUCUGCUAGAAUAUGAGUUCCAUGAAGACCAGGACUUUGCCUACUGUUUUUUCUGCUGUAGUUCCUGGGAAUCGAAUUUUUUGCUCUGACUAUGUAUUUAUUAUUAGGCCCUCCCUAUAUUUAUUUUAUGGUUCUGCAAUUGAACCCAGAGACUAGUGUGUGCUGAGCACAUGUUCUAGCACUGAGCUAUACUCCCAGCCCCUGCCCUAUUAUUUAUAUGAAGAAUAAUUGAAAGAAUGAAUGAAAUCCCUAUUACUUCCAAGCCAGAGUUUCUGCAUUCAUGCAAUGGAUAAAAUAUUUCUGCUUUACAUCUUUGUAAAUGAAAGCAAUUUUCUUCUCAGAUGCUAUGCUUCAGAGGGUGGCAGGACAGUCUGUGCUGGCAGUGGUAGGCUUCAGAACUCCCAAGCAAAGAAAUCCUUGGCCCUCUCCUUGUUUGUGCACCAACCUAGUUUCAAGUGGUUCAACUAGAUUGACAAGAGCCUGUUAGCACGAGUGAGAACAGUUUUGGUUUUUUUUGACUGUGUCUGUGGUCUUGAACUUUAGAAUGUGUAGUUUAG